rnacentral:rRNA from 1 species
CCUUAGUUACCAUCAGGUGGUGCUGGGGACUUUAAGGAAACUGCCAGUGAUAAACUGUGGUGAGGAUGAGAUGACGUCCAGUCAUCAUGACCUCUAUGGCCUAGGCUACACUCGUCCUACAAUGGUGUCUAAAAUGGGCAGAAAAUUUGUGAGGCUAAGUUAAUCCCUUAAAAGCCAUACCAGGUCGGAUUGGGAUG